rnacentral:rRNA from 1 species
CCUACGGGAGGCAGCAGUGAGGAAUAUUGCACAAUGGGCGCAAGCCUGAUGCAGCGACGCCGCGUGGGUGAAGAAGGUCUUCGGAUCGUAAAGCCCUUUUCUGCGUGACGAGCAAGGACGGUAGCGCAGGAAUAAGUCUCGGCUAACUACGUGCCAGCAGCCGCGGUAAAACGUAGGAGACAAACGUUAUCCGGAGUUACUGGGCGUAAAGGGCGUGCAGGCGGUUGCUUAAGUCUGGCGUGAAAGCUCCCGGCUAAACCGGGAGAGGUCGUUGGAGACUGGGCAACUUGAGGACGGUAGAGGCGAGUGGAAUUCCGGGUGUAGUGGUGAAAUGCGUAGAGAUCCGGAGGAACACCAGUGGCGAAGGCGACUCGCUGGGCCGUACCUGACGCUAAGACGCGACAGCAUGGGGAGCGAACGGGAUUAGAUACCCUGGUAGU